rnacentral:rRNA from 1 species
UGGGGAAUCUUCCGCAAUGGACGAAAGUCUGACGGAGCAACGCCGCGUGAGUGAUGACGGCCUUCGGGUCGUAAAGCUCUGUUAAUCGGGACGAAAGGCCUUCUUGCGAAUAGUUAGAAGGAUUGACGGUACCGGAAUAGAAAGCCACGGCUAACUACGUGCCAGCAGCCGCGGUAAUACGUAGGUGGCAAGCGUUGUCCGGAAUUAUUGGGCGUAAAGCGCGCGCAGGCGGAUUGGUCAGUCUGUCUUAAAAGUUCGGGGCUUAACCCCGUGAUGGGAUGGAAACUGCCAAUCUAGAGUAUCGGAGAGGAAAGUGGAAUUCCUAGUGUAGCGGUGAAAUGCGUAGAUAUUAGGAAGAACACCAGUGGCGAAGGCGACUUUCUGGACGAAAACUGACGCUGAGGCGCGAAAGCCAGGGGAGCGAACGGGAUUAGAUACCCUGGUAGUCCACGCCGUAAACGAUGAGUGCUAAGUGUUGGUCUCAUAAGAGAUCAGUGCUGCAGCUAACGCAUUAAGCACUCCGCCUGGGGAGUACGACCGCAAGGUUG